UAAAAGGUCCAGCCUGCCCAGUGACUCUGUUCAACGGCCGCGGUAUCCUAACCGUGCGAAGGUAGCGUAAUCACUUGUUCUUUAAAUGAGGACUAGUAUGAAUGGCACCACGAAGGUUACACUGUCUCCUUUUUCUAAUCAGUAAAACUAAUCUUCCCGUGAAGAAGCGGGAAUUUUUAUAUAAGACGAGAAGACCCUAUGGAGCUUUAAACGAAAUAACAACUACCUUUAUUACUCCAAUUUCAGAAGACAAACAUUAACUCUGGUAUAAUGAUUACUAGUUUUAGGUUGGGGUGACCGCGGAGCAAAAAACAACCUCCACGCUGAAUGGACCUACACUCCUAAGCAAAAAGCUACAACUUUAUGUAUCAACAAAUUGACACCUAUUGACCCAAUAAUUUGAUCAACGAACCAAGUUACCCUAGGGAUAACAGCGCAAUCCAUUUCAAGAGCCCCUAUCGACAAAUGGGUUUACGACCUCGAUGUUGGAUCAGGGUAUCCCAGUGGUGCAGCCGCUACUAAAGGUUCGUUUGUUCAACGAUUAAAA
rnacentral:rRNA from 1 species